UCCUAAUAAAGCUCUUUUUUUGUUUCUGAAGUUUGUUUACAAAGGCAAAUAUAAAAAAUAAUUUUAACCGUAAAAAAGUCGGCCUUCGCUAAUUUUACGGAAAAUGAGCUGUCGCGGCCUGUUUAAGAAGGCCUUGGUAACAGCAAACACUAUAUAAAUACGGGGGCGGAUAAGGGGGCCAGUUAGAAAAAAAAAAUUUUUUUGCAUAAUUUUUAUUUUUAUUAUUAGAUAACAGUAUAAAAUGGAAAAAAAUGAGUUGCACAAAUAUAUAGAUUCCUUAACAAAUAAUCAUAGCACUAUUAUUAUAGAUUUCUUGAGAUUACUUGAAUCAACAAGGUCCACCAUUGAACCAUCUUCAUAUGGUACAGUUGAUAAGUUCUAAAAACCUGUUAUGCAUUCCUUAUCAAUGCAACAUUUAUUUUUUAUAACUUUUAACCUUGGUUCCAACUUUAACUGCAACGUGUGGACCGCCUUCAUCUGGUACGAUUGUUUCAUUGUGGUCUGGGUCAAGUGGACCGUGUACAUCUUCUACGAUUGUUUCAUGUUCAUCCACAACAACUGUUCCACCUGCUCAACCUUCUGCUGAGCUUACAUAUGAAGCCUACAAAAUUUACAGGACCCAGCAUCCUGGAACCACCAACAACAAGUCAUAUUUGCGUUGGGUCCGAUUUGGGGGCAAAGAUGACCUCCUUUUUAGAUGGCCCUAUUACAACUCUGGGGACAACGGCAGAGGAGGUACUGGAAGUGGUCGUACCAGAAGAGGUUGACAAAGGACGAAUGGUGGCAGCCAUUAUGCUAAAUAUAAACAGUUAAAAAGUUAACAUGGUGCCACUAUUCCUUUAUUUUUCUUUAAUAAUAUACAAUAUUAGUUAA